UCUCUCCAACCUUCUCCAUCAGCCAAUGAAGCAGCAGAGACUUCAGGCAGGACUAAUAAGGCUGGAAAGGAAAGAAGGGCAGGAAAGGCCCCUGGCUGUUGUUUCAGACCUCUCUAAGGCCUGAACCUGAGGAAGGAGAAGGGCAGAGAGGCAGGGAGAACUACGGAAGCUGAAGGUUGUGGCCCACUUCUUGGGGCUAGGCUGAGGCCCUGAUCCUUGGGCCAGACUGAGGACCCCUGAGAGGCCCUGCUGAGUGAGGUGGCACCAUGGACUGAGCAACCCACGCACAGGAGCUGGCGAAGGCCACGUGUUGGAAUGACAAAGGAGCCCCAUGGCAUGGCACUGCCUUUGAUGGAGAAGAAUGAGGAGGAUGUUAAGCGUCCACGCUCGAAGUUUUAAGGGCUCCAGCUGAAUUUUAAACAUCAAGCUGGCUAAGAAGUCUUCUCCCCAGGAGUGUGGGAAGCUCCGGAAAGCUCCUCGGGCCUGUAGUGGGGGUGCUGCUGGGGGUGGGCAGGAGAGCACUGUGCGCUUAAACAUGCCCAGCCAAGCCCCUCACCUCUGAUCGCUCCACGGAGCCGGCUUGGAGUGCUGCAGCUCUGGAAGCCACCUCCUCGGACUCUCAGAGGCGCGUGCCCAGCAAGGGCUGUCUGGCGCAGCAGGUGCCGGACCUGAUCCCCAGGUGUGGAGAGUGAAGGGAGAGGACCCACGGCCACCUGCUCUCAGGUGCAGCAGUGUCUGACUGGCUGUGAGCGGCUGUAUGGCAGUGUGACAGUGAGGCUGGCAGUGCAAGCGUGUUUGUGAGUGGCAGUGUGUGUACCUGUGACAGGUGUGAUUGUGAGGGCCCGAGAGGCAGUGAGCUCCUGUCGCCUCUCGCUGGGGAGGACCCGACCCCAAUCCCCAAGAACCUACUCAAUGAAGUCACUGACGGGAGUCUCCUCCCUCGCGGUUGGGCGGGGCAGAGCGAAGCUCGGCCGGGACAAAAGGCGCGGCGCGGAGAGGAGGGGAGGGGGCUCGGGCGGGGGAGGGUGGUCGGUGAUGUCACCCGCGCUGGCUGGCUGGCCUGCUCACAGACGCCUCCGCCCCACAGAACCCAAUCCGGUCCGACCCGACCCUCCGCUCCCCUCCCCCGGCUCAGACGCUGGCUGCCCCGGGUGACAGCCAAGCUCGGGUCGCGGACUCCGAACACCCUGCAGACCCCGGGGCCCAGCACCCACAGGGCAGCAGAGCCUACGGGCCCUCAGUGUCCCAACCCCUCCUCCCCCGAUACCAGGAGCCCUGGCUUCGCGACGGCCCACUCCCGGGACCCCCGAGUCCUGGCUCGGCGCCCUCACCGGUGAGGAGCUGCGGGCGCUGCCGUGGUCCGUGAGACAGUCGCUGCCCCCUCCCCCGGCUCCGGCUCAGCCGCCUCCACCCGGGACAGGAGUCGCCUGCCCGC